rnacentral:rRNA from 1 species
GUUGGUUUCCUAUCUGCUGUAGGCGUGUGUUGCUUGAGAGAACUCUUUCCUAGUACGAGAGGACCGGAAAGAACGAACCUCUGGUGUAUCUGUUGUUCCGCCAGGAGCAUCGCAGAGUAGCUACGUUCGGGUAGGAUAACCGCUGAAAGCAUCUAAGCGGGAAGCCAAGCUCAAGAUAAGGCAACAGUAUCAGUUUACUGAUACAAGAUUUCCUAGAAGAUUACUAGGUUGAUAGGCUGCAGAUGUAAGUCCUGGGAAGGAUUCAGUCGAGCAGUACUAAUAAAUU